rnacentral:piRNA from 1 species
UGAUCAUGUCUGCUCCAAGUGAAAGGUUC